rnacentral:rRNA from 1 species
UACGAAGGUGGCAAGCGUUGUCCGGAUUUACUGGGCGUAAAGAGCGUGUAGGCGGCCAAACAGGUCCGUUGUGAAAACUGGGAGGCUCAACUUCCAGACGUCGACGGAAACCGUGUGGCUAGAGUCCGGAAGAGGAGAGUGGAAUUCCUGGUGUAGCGGUGAAAUGCGCAGAUAUCAGGAAGAACACCAAUGGCGAAGGCAGCUCUCUGGGACGGUACUGACGCUGAGACGCGAAAGCGUGGGGAGCGAACAGG